rnacentral:rRNA from 1 species
AUACCGGGCCCAACGGGUCUGGUAAUUGGAAUGAGUACAAUUUAAAUCCCUUAACGAGGAUCAAUUGGAGGGCAAGUCUGGUGCCAGCAGCCGCGGUAAUUCCAGCUCCAAUAGCGUAUAUUAAAGUUGUUGCAGUUAAAAAGCUCGUAGUUGGAUUUCUGGUUUGAUGCGCCUGGCCCGCCGCGGUUACGCGUGUGAGAGCCGGUUGCGCGUCGACCAUCCUUCUGGAGAGCGCGGCUAUUCUUCACUGAACUGGUCGCGCGAUCUGGAUCGUUUACUUUGAAAAAAUUAGAGUGUUCAAAGCAGGCUUGCGCUGUGAAUACAUUAGCAUGGAAUAAUGAGAUAGGACUUUGGUUCUAUUUUGUUGGUUUCUAGGACCGAACGUAAUGAUUGAUAGGGACAGUUGGGGGUGCUCGUAUUCAACGGCCAGAGGUGAAAUUCUUGGAUUCGUUGAAGACGAACUUAUGCGAAAGCAUUCACCAAGGAUGUCUUCUUUAAUCAAGAACGAAAGUUGGGGGAUCGAAGACGAUCAGAUACCGUCGUAGUCUCAACCAUAAACUAUACCGACUAGGGAUGGGCGAACGUUGCUUUUAUUCGACUUCGUCCGCACCUCAUGAGAAAUCAAAGUCUUUGGGUUCCGGGGGGAGUAUGGUCGCAAGGCUGAAACUUAAAGGAAUUGACGGAAGGGCACCACCAGGAGUGGAGCCUGCGGCUUAAUUUGACCCAACACGGGAAAACUUACCAGGUCCAGACAUAGUGAGGAUUGACAGAUUGAAGAUCUUUCUUGAUUCUAUGGGUGGUGGUGCAUGGCCGUUCUUAGUUGGUGGAGUGAUUUGUCUGGUUAAUUCCGUUAACGAACGAGACCUCGACCUGCUAACUAGGUCGGCGAACACCUCGGUGUUCGACCGGCACUUCUUAGAGGGACUAUCGGUGUUCUAGCCGAUGGAAGUUCGAGGCAAUAACAGGUCUGUGAUGCCCUUAGAUGUUCUGGGCUGCACGCGCGCUACACUGAUGCAUGCAUCGAGCUCUUCCACCUUGGCCGAGAGGUCUGGGGAAUCUUGCAAUAUGCAUCGUGCUGGGGAUAGAUUAUUGCAAUUAUUAAUCUUCAACGAGGAAUUCCUAGUAAACGCAAGUCAUCAGCUUGCAUUGAUUACGUCCCUGCCCUUUGUACACACCGCCCGUCGCUACUACCGAUUGAAUGGCUUAGUGAGCCUCACGGAUCGCGGCAGUUGGUUUGCUUUCGAGCAUCCGACAGCUGGGAGAAGUAAUGCAAACUUGACCAUUUAGAGGAAGUAAAAGUCGUAACAAGGU